GAUGAACGCUGGCGGCGUGCCUAAUACAUGCAAGUCGAGCGAACAGAUGAGGAGCUUGCUCUCUUGACGUUAGCGGGUGACGGGCGAGUAACACGUGGAUAACCUUCCUAUAAGACUGGGAUAACUUCGGGAAACCGGAGCUAAUACCGGAUAAUAUAUUGAACCGCAUGGUUCAAUAGUGAAUGACGGCUUUGCUGUUACUUAUAGAUGGAUCCGCGCCGCAUUAGCUAGUUGGUAAGGUAACGGCUUACCAAGGCAACGAUGCGUAGCCGACCUGAGAGGGUGAUCGGCCACACUGGAACUGAGACACGGUCCAGACUCCUACGGGAGGCAGCAGUAGGGAAUCUUCCGCAAUGGGCGAAAGCCUGACGGAGCCACACCGCGUGAGUGAUGAAGGUCUUCGGAUCGUAAAGCUCUGUUAUUAGGAAAGAACAGAUGUGUAAGUAACUAUGCACGUCUUGACGGUACCUAAUCAGAAAGCCACGGCUAACUACGUG
rnacentral:rRNA from 1 species